rnacentral:misc_RNA from 1 species
UCGUAACAAGGUUUCCGUAGGUGAACCUGCGGAAGGAUCAUUACCGAGUGCGGGCUGCCUCCGGGCGCCCAACCUCCCACCCGUGACUACCUAACACUGUUGCUUCGGCGGGGAGCCCCCCAGGGGCGAGCCGCCGGGGACCACUGAACUUCAUGCCUGAGAGUGAUGCAGUCUGAGCCUGAAUACAAAUCAGUCAAAACUUUCAACAAUGGAUCUCUUGGUUCCGGCAUCGAUGAAGAACGCAGCGAACUGCGAUAAGUAAUGUGAAUUGCAGAAUUCAGUGAAUCAUCGAGUCUUUGAACGCACAUUGCGCCCCCUGGCAUUCCGGGGGGCAUGCCUGUCCGAGCGUCAUUGCUGCCCUCAAGCCCGGCUUGUGUGUUGGGUCGUCGUCCCCCCCGGGGGACGGGCCCGAAAGGCAGCGGCGGCACCGUGUCCGGUCCUCGAGCGUAUGGGGCUUUGUCACCCGCUCGAUUAGGGCCGGCCGGGCGCCAGCCGGCGUCUCCAACCUUAUUUUUCUCAGGUUGACCUCGGAUCAGGUAGGGAUACCCGCUGAACCUAAGCAUAUCA